GGAGGAAACUACGCGGUGAGAAUGGGUGCGGUAACGAGCACUGGGCAGGGUGAAUUGUUGAUCUCGAGCGGAGGAACCCGAGUUCUCGCAUCUCUAAACAAAAUUCUGAGUUCAUGUCAGAGCGCGUAGAGUAUGAUGAAGUCGAGGUGAUACCGACGAGCAGGCGGCUCUAACAGUAUUGAGAAGGAACAGAUAGGGAUUGGGGACCACCUCAUUUAUCUACCACAAGAUGAGGAAAAAGUGAGGCCACGCGAAGACGAUGACAAGGCGAUGAACUCAUUUGCACUCCGGAUCUGGUGCUUCGGAUGAAGAAUAGGAAGCAGGAGCGACGUGGAAGAAGACCGUGGGCUCAUCCUUUACGCGAGAACGGGUCCGGGGCAACGAAGGGGUACUCGGGGAUGCGAAUGGCGAGCCCUUCGUGGAUCCUUACGCUGGCGAUGAGGCGACGGCCGAGCCUUCCAUGGAGCUUGGUCCCGGAUAGAAGGAGCAGGGAGAGGCGAGGAAUGGAGGCGGUGGCACGGAGGAGGAAGAG
rnacentral:lncRNA from 1 species